AUGUGCCAGACCUCUGAAAUGGUUUUCCCAGGAAGGGGAAGGAUCCGUGUCGAUGCUGACAGUGUUCAGAGGGUAUUUGAUCUCCCAAACAAGGGUCCAAAAGUCAGAUAUUUAGUUGACAAGGAUGCCACUAGGAGAUUCAGACAGGCUUUCAACAUAACUGGAAAUUCUCAUCCGCAGAUCACUACAUGGCUCAAGAUGAUUCAGGAUAUGGCUGGAAGAACAGAUGACACAUUCUUUAUGGCCUGGCUUGCGAUACUAUACCUUGAUGCGCUCGUACAUGACAUCCCAGUAAGCAACUGCGCGAUACGAUCGAAUGCAUGGGAUAGUACUCUAAUUGUCAAGGUGAUCAAGAAGGAUACUAUCUCUCCUGGUGUGUUCGGCAAAUUACAACUUAAAGAGGAGUAUAGAGGCACGGAGCAGACACCACUGUUUGGUGGAAUUUUGCAAGCUGAAGCAUUCGUGGCAUCCAAGUUACCAAUAACAUACAAUCCGCAGAAAAAGGCAAAGAUUGCGAAAGUGGUCAAUGAGCUGUGCAAGGCUGUAACUGAACAUGUUGGCACCUUCAUUGAAGUAGUUGCCAAGAUCGAUGACGAGGAACCAGAUAUUGAUCCUUACGAGAUGCCCCGGUCCUUGAACCCUUACGAAGAUCAAACUCUUAUCAUGGUGACGGGUUCUAUGAUGCACCAUCUUUUGACCUCGGCAUAG
rnacentral:rRNA from 1 species